UACGAAAGGUGCAAGCGUUACUCGGAAUCACUGGGCGUAAAGCGCACGUAGGCGGACUUACAGGUCAAUUGUGAAAUACCUGGGCUCAACCCAGGAACUGCAGUUGAAACCGUUUGUCUUGAAUACUUGAGAGGGUGGGGGAAUACCUGGUGGAGAAGUGAAAUUCGUAGAGAUCAGGUGGAACACCGGAGGCGAAGGCGCCUGCCUGGCAAUGUAUUGACGCUGAGGUGCGAAAGUGCGGGGAGCAAACAGG
rnacentral:rRNA from 2 species